AAGAAUGUAUCUGUCCAAGCCACGAUCUGCCAGCUUCUGGAGAAGAAUACUGUGGGAGACAGUGUCAAAGGCUUUGCUGAAGUCUAGGUAGACCACAUCAACAGCCUUUCCCUCAUCCAGCAGACGGGUCACUGGAUCAUAGAAGGAGAUCAGCACCGAGGUCAGGCUAACAGGCCUGUAGUUCCCCGGAUCCUCCCUGCAGCCCUUCUUGUAGAUGGGAGUCACAUUGGCAAGCCUCCAGUGUUCUGGGACCUCACCCGUCAACAAGGAGCGCUGAUAGAUGAUGGAAAGCGGCUCGGCUAUCACCUCCACCACACUCUCGCGUGAAUCUCAUCCGGUCCCAUGGACUUGUGGCAGUCCAGUUGGAGUAGCAGGUCUCUGACUGUUACCUCCUGAAUCGUGGGGGGUUUAGUCUGCUCCCCAGCCAAGACUGCCAGGUCAGGGAGUAGAGAAACCUGAGGAUAACCGUUCUGUCUUUUAAAGACAGAUGUAAAGAAGGCAUUCAGAACAUCUGCCUUU
ensembl:lncRNA